rnacentral:misc_RNA from 1 species
UUUAAAAGUUGUUUUAAAAAAAAAAGACAACAUUUUUGGAGAAAUUUAAGGGAUAUAUAUUUUAAAUAAAUUUUAAUCAAGCGUAGUUGGUGUAAUAAUGAGUGGACGUGGUAGUCGUAAGCGGGGUAGACCGCCGAAGACGCCAAAUGAGCGCGCUGGAACCAAAUUCAAUUAUCAGCUGUUAAAGAAACCAAAAUAUUUAAGUAAGGCCAGCGAUUCCCAAUUAAGCACUCCAUCGGCAUCACGCGCUUCCUCGCCCCAGGAAAGCGAUGGUAGCCGCAGCUAUAACCGGAAAUCCACAGGCAAAAGUACCAGAGGCAGAUCACGUAAAUCAACAAGCAGCACGGCUAAUGUAAGCCGGAGAGGAGGAUAUGAAUCAGAGUAUCAUUAUGGUUCGGAUUUUGGUGAUUCGAGUGAGAAGAGUGAUAUUGAUGAUGAGUUACUCUUAUCUGCGACUGACGAAGAAGAGAGUCUCGAUAAUGUUAAUGAAAGUGAAUCUGAAUUUUCUGUCUGCAGUUUUACACAAAAUGGAGUUGGUCGCCCACCUAGACCGCCAAGUCCUGAACCAAUAUGGUUACAAGAUAGAGAAUAUGAACCUCUCGAAUUGCCCGAGUCAUCUGAAGAUUUACUUAUGAAAAAUGAACAUCUACUUAAUGCUUUAGGUAUAUAUGAAGUCUUGCGACGAUUCCGUCACUUGGUACGUUUGUCACCUUUCCGUUUUGAAGAUUUUUGUGCAGCUUUGGCUUGCGAUGAGCAGAGCGCACUUAUCGCUGAAAUUCAUAUUAUGUUACUGAAAGCAAUAUUACGUGAAGAAGAUGUACAGGGCACACACUUCGGACCACUAGAUCAGAAAGAUACAGUUAAUAUAAGUUUGUAUUUAAUAGAUGGUAUUACAUGGCCUGAAGUACUACGCAGCUAUGUUGAAAGUGAUGCAAUAUUCAAUCGUGAAGUAUAUAACAUCCUAUGUUCUGGUGAUUAUCCAUUCACAGGUGUCACUGAUCGCAUUACGGUUUUACAGUUUUUAACAAAUCAAUUUUUAACAACGAAUGCAGUAAGAGACGUAAUGCUGCAAGAAGGUCCAAUACAUUAUGACGAUCAUUGUAGAAUUUGUCAUAGGUUGGGCGAUUUGUUGUGUUGCGAAACUUGCCCCGCUGUAUAUCAUUUAGAGUGCGUUGAUCCGCCGUUGCAUGAUGUGCCUACGGAGGAUUGGCAGUGUAAUUUGUGUAAGUCACAUAAAGUUAGUGGUGUUGUAGACUGUGUGCUGCCACAAGAAAAGCAAGGCGUUCUAAUAAGGCAUGAUAUAAUCGGAUUGGACAGGCAUGGGCGUAAAUUUUGGUUUAUAGCGAGAAGAAUAUUCGUUGAGGGUCAACCUGUUCUUGAUAACGGUAAAAUAUGGUAUUAUAGCACCGAAUCAAAAUUGGAACAAUUACUAAAUACUAUCGACAAAGAAGAUUUAGAAGCCGGUCUGUAUACCCAAUUGACCGAGCGUAAAGAUGAGAUUUUACGACAAAUGAAAUUAACAGAGACUAUUACAAAAGAGCACAAUAAAUACCAAAGGCUUUCUUAUAUUGAUGAAGAAAAUAAGAAAACAUGGGCAUUAAUACGUGGUAAUGAAGAAGAAGAAACACAAUUGAACGACAGUGUCGCAGAGAAUAAGAUGAUGACCCGUCUGAAAACAAGUCAAAAUGCGAAUGAAACCAACCACUUUAAAUUGGGUAUGGAACAUGGUUUUAAGAAUUACGUAAAUCAGUAUACAUCAAAUCCCAUUGCUUUGAAUAAACCACAGCGUAAUGAAGAGCGUGAUAAACGCCGGCAUUUAUCCCACAAAUUCUCCCUAACCACCGCAUCGGAGUUUAAAUGGAUUGGUGUUACCAUGGGUAGUUUAGAUAGUAUAACUCAAACGUUGCGACAAACACUAUUAAGUUUCGAAGAAAAUGUACCAUCGUCCUUCAUGAUACCAAAUUGGCGAUUCAUAAAAUGGAAAUGGCGUAGAACAGUUACCGACGCACGCCGUCCAACAGAGUUUGUCAUAGUAUUAUUAUUGCUACAGGCUUCAUUUAAGAAUGUGAUCUUUGCAAAUGUUUGGCAUGAACAGCUUGGUCAUAUAACAUUAUGUCGCAUAACUUCAUCUGAGCGUGAAGAGCGCAAAAAGAUUGAGAAGCGUGAAAAACGUGAACGUGAUGAUGAAGAAGAACGUAAUCGUCUGGCUUUCAAUUAUAUCAAAUACUCCUUAGGACUUAAACAUCAGGUUUGGAAGCAAAAGGGCGAAGAGUAUCGUAUACACGGUCAAUGGGGUUGGAUGUGGCUUUCAACCAGUCGCCGUUGCGGUAGUUGCGGCGGCAGCAAGUCACGGCGAGCACCACAUCGCCAUGGAUUGGCUAUUCCCCCGGUUAAAGUGAACGUGCAUUUUACAAAGGGCGCCGAUGUUGAUGAAAUUGUAAGUGUCGAUCCCCGUACACACAAAUUCCUUUUGCAAUGCAAUGAGGCUGUAAAAAAAGGUGCCGAUUACUACUUCCUGCAGAAGUUUAAAGAUGUGCAAGUAAAAGAACUGAAUGAUGAUAGUACAGAUGGAACCGACGGUUCCGGCAUUGUUAAUAAUAAGGGCACUAUCGAUGUUUCGAAAUCGUUAAGAAUGCCCGGUCGCUUGCUUUAUCCGAAAAUAGCACGAAAAAGCCGUCUUGAUGAACUAUUAGGACGGCGUUUGGAAUUAAAGCAAGCUGAAGAAGAGUUGGCGGUCAAAUCCGAAAAGGAUGAUGAUGAUGCAGAGCCAGGUACACAAUCGGAAGAGGCAAAAUCCGAUACUAAUAAAAAGGUAGCCAAGCGCACAUUCCUUGAACGUCGUUUAAUGGAUAUACAAUAUGUACAACAAAAAAAUACGCCCAGUAAAGAUGUCAACCUUGAUUUGGUGAACUCUUUAGCGAAGAAAAUACAAACCGUCCGUUUGCAAUUUAGUCAAUUGAAUCGGUUCGCUAAACAAUAUCGCUGCUACACGAAAGAGUGCAACACAAAUUCCAAUGCUGUUUCGCAAAUCACACAAAACACCUGCUAUUCACCACUUUGCCUACAAAAAGCCCGAGCUAAAAAGGAACUAUUACUGUUGUUACGCAAAGCACAUAUUGCCGGCAAUGGUUCAAAAGAAACAGUAGCUGCUAUUUUGGGCGCUGUUAAAAAACCUUCAAUUUUGGAACAAAAAUUAACAGAGGGUAAAAAAGAUGCCUCACUCGUACUAGAUGAAGCUGAAGAUUGUCGUUGGUUAAUCGAUGAGAGUCCAUUGGAUUUGGUGCAAGAUUGGGAACAUGCACGUACUGUAGCUGUGCCAUAUGAUGAGAUGCUUUUACGUGACUGUUACAUAUCGAAAGAAGAAGAAAAUGCAGUUAGCAAUACUGUGAAAGAAGAGAGUAUGCCAGCUGGUGGUUCUAGUGAUGGUGGCAUGGAAUUUAUGGAUAAUAUCGAUGUGUGCAGUAAUGUUGAGAUCGAGAGUUCAGAGACCACUAAUGAUGAUUCUCUCGCUGCGCUCACCUCCAGUAAUGAUACUUUGGGCAUGGACGCUACACAAGCUAAAAAAUGUAAGAAGUCACAAAAAUCGCGUACUAACAAAUCGUACAUCGCCACUAAGGAUGUGCUCAAUCAGACUCUUGAAUCGACAGCAACAAAUAUCAAACAAAAUCGCCGUUUUCCUACACAACCGCGCAUUACCAAACGCGAAGAUGUUACAAAAUAUGAAAAGGAAUUUUAUACAAAUGGUAAGGAACGCGUGUAUGCAGCACAAUCAACACGUGGACGCAUUUACUUGUGGCGUGACAAAUCUGUGCUAAAAGAACGCACACAAAUCAAAACGGAAGAUGAAAGUAAAUUACAAACAUUCACGCCAGAACAAGCUAAGAACAUACCAAUCGGCUCGACAUAUCCGCUAACUUCUCAAUUCCUUACACACAAGCUAAAGGCGAGUAUACUCGCGUUGGCACCCUUUGAGUUAAAGAAAUUAGCACGUUUGGGUGGCAAAACAUCCACUAACGGUUUCCAUCAUUUGGCGAAAAAUAAUUCCGUCUGGCCAUAUCCAUGUUCACGACCACUUUUUAAGACAUGUUGGUCUUUCCGUACUACCAAAGCGACUACACUUGCUGCUGUAGCGCUACAACUGCGUAUACUGUGGUGUUGCCUUCGUUGGGAUGAUAUGAUUGCCAAAGCACCAUCGGCAGAUGGCAAACAUCAAGUGACUAGUGAAACUGAGAUCGUCACACAAGAGCUGUUGAAGUUCCGUCACAUGGGACGAUAUGGUGAACGUACGCAAUAUUUACGACGCAAAGUAGUAGUGCCACUGGAAAUGCCCAAGACUAUACGAGAGGUAACUUCAAUUCGUUCUGGUUUACGUAAACGCAAACGUGCUGAAUCACCUCAGCCAACCGAACCACAAAUAAGUGAAGAGUGGGUAGAGGAAGAAAAACUUGAAUUGUGGGAGAUUAAAUUAAUGGGCGAACGUCAUGAGAAGAUGAAGCAAGCAACUCAGACACGUUCUGUAGUCCUGCGACAAGCUGCUGAACAAGCUGGCUCAUCGCCGUCUUCCUCGUCAGCAUCCAGUUCCGGUGGUUCGAAUGGCUGCACACCUAAAGUUGUGAUAACAGCAAAGAGUAGUGAAGAGAUCAAAGAAAAAAUGGAACAACAAUUGAAACUACAACGUGCUGCACAUCAGCAGAAAAGGAAUCCGGAUAAUAUUAAAUUACAUCCGCAAGGUAAGGGUCAAAUAAUCGGCAGUCGUCGUGUAAUAGUUAAAAAUCCCGAUGGCACAACGCGCAUCAUACAACAGGCAAUUACUUCACCUGCACAAAAAGUUAUCAACAACAGUGCCAAUGCCGCGGCCCAAGCUUCAACCGCGUCGAAUUCCGGUGGUUCCUCAUCAGCCAGUGGACAGUCGACACAAGCGAGCACUAGCACAGCGCCUCAACAACAUAAGGUGCAAAUUAUACGCGGGCCUGAUGGUAAAGUAAGCGUUCGAGGCCUAAAUCCCGGUCAACAAUUAAUACAAAUGCCCGACGGUAAAUUGCAUGUGUUGACGACAACAUCGGCAGCAGGCGGAGCACAAGGUACUAUAACAAAGAAGCUGCCAGUGAAACAGGUAACAGCAUCAAAUUCAACAGGUAUCGUGAAGCAAAUAUCAGUCAAGCCUAUACAGAAGCCGGUGUCGGUUCAAAGUGCACAAAAAACCGUUGUUACAGCCGUAAAUACACAACCCCAAGCAGUUGCGCCUAAAGCGGUUGCGCAGGUUAUUAACCAACAUGUCGCUCUCAAUCCAACAACAACUGUGCAGAAGGUUAUCACACAAACAAUACCAACUGUAAAUACAAAUACACCUACAGCCACAAAGGUUACUACAAACGCCCAAGGUAUGCAACAAUUUAUUGUCCAACCAGGACAAAAAUUAUUGAUGGGACAAAAUCAACAAGGACAAAAGGUGUUAAUUACCACUGGUGGACAACAAAUUACCCAACAGCCGGUGGUUUCGAAUCUACAAACAAUACAGCAGACACCUCCACAGCAGCAACAACAACAACAGCAAAUAAUAGUGAAUCAAUCACCAACCACAACAAAUCAGACCACAACGUCACCACAGGGUGCAACACAAAAGGUUAUACAACAAAUUGUGAAUACCAGCAAUGUGCAGCAACAAAUUGUGAUCGGUGGUCAACGCAUUAUAUUAAGUCCUGGACAAACUAUUGUCACACAAAGAUCCGUGCCACAAAGUCAAGUACAAGUUGUACAACAACAGCCGCAACAGCAACAGCAACAACAAAUAGUGCAAUCAACCACAACACAACCCACACACCACCAACAAGUAAUUGUGCAAGCGACAAAUCAACAAGCUGGACUUUCCCAAAUACAACAACAACAACCACAACAGCGCGUUGUUAAGCAAAUUGUGGUGCAGCAACAGCAACCGCAGCAGCAGCAACAGCAACAACAGCAAACAAUACAAGCCAGUAGUAAUCAUUUAGUGGAGCAAAGUACACCGCAACAACAAGUGUUAAAGAUACAGCAGCCGCAGCAACAACAACAGCAGCAGCAGCAGACUGCUGCAACACCCCAACAAACAACAAAUCAACAACUUGUCGUUCAGAACUCAACGCUGGCACAACAGUUGGCCCAAGGUAAACUGCAAGUAGCCACCAUAAACGGUCAACAAGUAAUCAUUCGACCAUUGGGCAAUAAUCAAGCACAAAUUGUGGCGCACAUUAAAACGCAAAGUGAUGGUAAUGCGCACAUUAUAACCAAUAGUACUUUGGAAACGCCGCAAGGUUCACCAGAAAAAUCAGCGCCCGCAGUUGUGCAACAAAUACAACAAAAACCACAAGUUCAACAACAGCAAGUAAUACAACGUGCAACUGUUACACAACAACAACAACAGCAGCAACAUGUAACCCAACAACAGCAAACUACUUAUAUGCAACAAGAAACUGUGCAGCAACAACAUCAGCAGACGACUGUGGCAACACCUACCAAACAGAUGUCCAUUGAGGAGAGCUUACUGCAGGGCCAGCCGCCAGGGACUGUUAUCAAAUGUGUCACCGCACAGGUCAUACAAACGGAACAAGGUCCACGUAUAGUGUUGCAAGGCUUAGUUGGCAAUGAUUUCACGCAACAACAGUUGGCGCUUGUGCAACAGCAAGUGAAGCAACAGCUUUUAAAAGCUCAAGAAUCCAGCGGCAAACAAGGUGUGCUAGGACCAACUAAAAUCUACUUGGCUGUUCAACCGCCAAACGCGGGUUUGAAUUCUCAACCACCCCCACUAACACCCGUACAUCAAUCUACACAUCAACAAGUUUCCUGGAAUAAGUACUACAACUGAUCUUUUACGUAUACAAGGCGUCCUUCCUAGCUAAGACAACGGUGACUGAACAAAGUAGUAGCAGUAAUGUUGAAAAUGUCGCCGGCAAUAAAACAAUUGAUGCAACAACAAAAAACCAAGAUAAAUCAGAUUUAUUACAAGACAAUCAAAUUCAACAAUUACCCCAAGGGAAUAACACAGUAAUAAGUAGUAGUCCUAGUGCGGGUGUUGGAACUCAGGAUUUGAUUGUUACUUCACCAGGAUUUAUACAAAUCUCUAACAACACAAAGGUAAUCACUAAAGGCAGCUCCAAUAUAAAUUUAGUACACAGCAAUGAGCAGCAACAACAACAGCAGCAGCAACAAGAUAAAAAAUCAACACAAC